rnacentral:rRNA from 1 species
UCAGUCGACUCCUACGGGGAGGCAGCAGUGGGGGAAUAUUGCACAAUGGGCGCAAGCCUGAUGCAGCCAUGCCGCGUGUAUGAAGAAGGACCUUCGGGGUUGUAAAGUACUUCUAGCAGUGAGGAAGGGCAGGUACGUUAAUAGCGUGCUGUUUGUACGUUAGCUGCAGAAGAAGCACCGGCUAACUCCGUGCCAGCAGCCGCGGUAAUACGGAGGGUGCGAGCGUUAAUCGGAAUUACUGGGCGUAAAGCGCAUGCAGGUGGUUUGUUAAGUCAGAUGUGAAAGCCCGGGGCUCAACCUCGGAAUUGCAUUUGAAACUGGCAGACUAGAGUACUGUAGAGGGGGGUAGGAAUUUCAGGUGUAGCGGUGAAAUGCGUAGAGAUCUGAAGGAAUACCGGUGGCGAAGGCGGCCCCCUGGACAGAUACUGACACUCAGAUGCGAAAGCGUGGGGAGCAAACAGGAUUAGAUACCCUGGUAG